AUACCUUUCUGGGCCUUUUGGCUAAGAUUAAGUGUAGUAUAUGUUCUUAUCAGUUUAAUAUCUGACUAGCGAAAGGGGCCGUGCGUUGCAACGGGAGAAAAAAAUACCACACGCUUUUAAUCUUUUUAUAAUCAUUUUAAUUUAUUAAAAUAAUAAGCUAACUAACUAAUGUAGUCAGUCCUAU
rnacentral:snRNA from 1 species